CCCUACUCUGGGAUAAGCCUGGGAAACUGGGUCUAAUACUGGAUAUGACCAAUCACUGCAUGGUGUGUUGGUGGAAAGAUUUUUUGGUGGGGGAUGGACUCGCGGCCUAUCAGCUUGUUGGUGGGGUAAUGGCCUACCAAGGCGACGACGGGUAGCCGGCCUGAGAGGGCGACCGGCCACACUGGGACUGAGACACGGCCCAGACUCCUACGGGAGGCAGCAGUGGGGAAUAUUGCACAAUGGGCGAAAGCCUGAUGCAGCGACGCCGCGUGAGGGAUGACGGCCUUCGGGUUGUAAACCUCUUUCACCAGGGACGAAGCUAACGUGACGGUACCUGGAGAAGAAGCACCGGCUAACUACGUGCCAGCAGCCGCGGUAAUACGUAGGGUGCGAGCGUUGUCCGGAAUUAUUGGGCGUAAAGAGCUUGUAGGCGGUUUGUCGCGUCUGCUGUGAAAGACCGGGGCUUAACUCCGGUUCUGCAGUGGGUACGGGCAGACUAGAGUAUGGUAGGGGAGACUGGAAUUCCUGGUGUAGCGGUGAAAUGCGCAGAUAUCAGGAGGAACACCGAUGGCGAAGGCAGGUCUCUGGGCCAUUACUGACGCUGAGAAGCGAAAGCAUGGGGAGCGAACAGGAUUAGAUACCCUGGUAGUCCAUGCCGUAAACGUUGGGCGCUAGGUGUGGGGCUCAUUCCACGAGUUCCGUGCCGCAGCUAACGCAUUAAGCGCCCCGCCUGGGGAGUACGGCCGCAAGGCUAAAACUCAAAGGAAUUGACGGGGGCCCGCACAAGCGGCGGAGCAUGCGGAUUAAUUCGAUGCAACGCGAAGAACCUUACCAAGGCUUGACAUACACCGGAAUCAUGCAGAGAUGUGUGCGUCUUCGGACUGGUGUACAGGUGGUGCAUGGUUGUCGUCAGCUCGUGUCGUGAGAUGUUGGGUUAAGUCCCGCAACGAGCGCAACCCUCGUUCCAUGUUGCCAGCACGUAAUGGUGGGGACUCAUGGGAGACUGCCGGGGUCAACUCGGAGGAAGGUGGGGAUGACGUCAAAUCAUCAUGCCCCUUAUGUCUUGGGCUUCACGCAUGCUACAAUGGCCGGUACAGAGGGUUGCGAAACUGUGAGGUGGAGCUAAUCCCAAAAAACCGGUCUCAGUUCGGAUUGGGGUCUGCAACUCGACCCCAUGAAGUCGGAGUCGCUAGUAAUCGCAGAUCAGCAACGCUGCGGUGAAUACGUUCCC
rnacentral:rRNA from 1 species